CAAUAGCGUAUAUUAAAGUUGUUGCAGUUAAAAAGCUCGUAGUUGAAUCUUGGGAGCGGGUGGGCUAGCGAGCCACAGCCCGUCCCUGCUUCUUGCCUCUCGGUGCCCCCUGGAUGCUCUUAGCUGAGUGUCCUGUGGCCCGAAGCACUUACUUUGAAAAAAUUAGAGUGUUCAAAGCAGGCCCAAGCCGCCUGGAUACUGCAGCUUGGAAUAAUGGAAUAGGACCACAGUUCUAUUUUGUUGGUUUUCGGAACUGAGGCCAUGAUUAAGAGGGACGGCCGGGGGCAUUCAUAUUGCACCGCUAGAGGUGAAAUUCUUGGACUGGCAGUUUAGACCAGAGCGAAAGCAUUUGCCAAGAAUGUUUUCAUUA
rnacentral:rRNA from 1 species